rnacentral:tRNA from 1 species
GGGCCUGUAGCUCAGUUGGUAGAGCACUUGACUUUUAAUCAAGUUGUCCCGAGUUCGAAUCUCGGCAGGCUCA